AAUGUACACACCGCCCGUCGCUUUUACCGAUUGAGUGUUCAGGUGAGUCUUCUUGAUAGUGUCAAAGCUAAAAAUUGAACAAACCUUAGCACUUAGAGGAAAAAGAAGUCGUAACAAGGUUUCCGUAGGUGAACCUGCG
rnacentral:rRNA from 1 species